rnacentral:rRNA from 1 species
GACGUAGGAUCCGAGCGUUGUCCGGAGUACUGGGCGUAAAGCGCGCGCAGGGCGGACACGCGCAUCGGCGGUGGAAAAGCCCCCCCGCUCAACGGGGGGAGGGGUCCGUCGAGAUGGCGUGUCUGGAGGCAGGGAGAGGCCAGUGGAAUUCCGGGUGUAGUGGUGAAAUGCGUAGAGAUCCGGAGGAACACCAGUGGCGAAGGCGGCUGGCUGGACCUGACCUGACGCUGAGGCGCGAGGCGUGGGGGAGCGAACGGGG